rnacentral:rRNA from 1 species
GCUGGCGGCAGGCUUAACACAUGCAAGUCGAGCGGGCGUAGCAAUACGUCAGCGGCAGACGGGUGAGUAACGCGUGGGAACGUACCUUUUGGUUCGGAACAACACAGGGAAACUUGUGCUAAUACCGGAUAAGCCCCUACGGGGAAAGAUUUAUCGCCGAAAGAUCGGCCCGCGUCUGAUUAGCUAGUUGGUGAGGUAACGGCUCACCAAGGCGACGAUCAGUAGCUGGUCUGAGAGGAUGAUCAGCCACAUUGGGACUGAGACACGGCCCAAACUCCUACGGGAGGCAGCAGUGGGGAAUAUUGGGCAAUGGGGGCAACCCUGAUCCAGCCAUGCCGCGUGAGUGAUGAAGGCCCUAGGGUUGUAAAGCUCUUUUGUGCGGGAAGAUAAUGACGGUACCGCAAGAAUAAGCCCCGGCUAACUUCGUGCCAGCAGCCGCGGUAAUACGAAGGGGGCUAGCGUUGCUCGGAAUCACUGGGCGUAAAGGGUGCGUAGGCGGGUCUUUAAGUCAGGGGUGAAAUCCUGGAGCUCAACCCCAGAACUGCCUUUGAUACUGAGGAUCUUGAGUUCGGGAGAGGUGAGUGGAACUGCGAGUGUAGAGGUGAAAUUCGUAGAU